rnacentral:rRNA from 1 species
AACGAACGCUGGCGGCAGGCUUAACACAUGCAAGUCGAGCGCCCCGCAAGGGGAGCGGCAGACGGGUGAGUAACGCGUGGGAAUCUACCCAUCUCUACGGAAUAACGCAUGGAAACGUGUGCUAAUACCGUAUACGUCCUUCGGGAGAAAGAUUUAUCGGAGAUGGAUGAGCCCGCGUUGGAUUAGCUAGUUGGUGGGGUAAAGGCCUACCAAGGCGACGAUCCAUAGCUGGGCUGAGAGGAUGAUCAGACACACUGGGACUGAGACACGGACCAGAGGUGUAAGAGAGGCAUACGUGGGGAGUAUUGGAAAAUGGAGUAAAGCCUGGUACAGCCGUGCCGCGUGAGUGAUGACGGCCCUAGGGUUGUAAAGCUCUUUCAACGGUGAAGAUAAUGACGGUAACCGGAGAAGAAGCCCCGGCUAACUUCGUGCCAGCCGCCGCGGUAACAC